CCCACCUCACAGUCAACAGUUGCUGAAAAAAAGCUCCUCCCAGCAGGGCAAUGUCCUUCACUCAUUCUUCUGAUUUUUGCUCCUAAUCUUGUGAUUAGGACUUGCAGACUUUCGCUUUUUAUUUUCACUUUUUUUGUGAACACACAACUCUUCAC